GACGAACGCUGGCGGCGUGCUUAACACAUGCAAGUCGAACGGAAAGGCCCUGCUUUUGUGGGGUGCUCGAGUGGCGAACGGGUGAGUAACACGUGAGUAACCUGCCCUUGACUUUGGGAUAACUUCAGGAAACUGGGGCUAAUACCGGAUAGGAGCUCCUGCUGCAUGGUGGGGGUUGGAACGUUUCGGCGGAUGGGGAUGGACUCGCGGCUUAUCAGCUUGUUGGUGGGGUAGUGGCUUACCAAGCUUUGACGGGUAGCCGGCCUGAGAGGGUGACCGGCCACAUUGGGACUGAGAUACGGACCAGACUCCUACGGGAGGCAGCAGUGGGGAGUAUUGCACAAUGGGCGGAAGCCUGAUGCAGCGACGCCGCGUGCGGGAUGACGGCCUUCGGGUUGUAAACCGCUUUCGCCUGUGACGAAGCGUGAGUGACGGUAAUGGGUAAAGAAGCACCGGCUAACUACGUG
rnacentral:rRNA from 1 species